AUUGAACGCUGGCGGCAGGCCUAACACAUGCAAGUCGAGCGAGCGGCGGACGGGUGAGUAAUGUAUGGGGACUGCCCGAUAGAGGGGGAUAACUACUGGAAACGGUGGCUAAUACCGCAUACUAUAGGCUUACCCAUAUGGGCUUAGCUAGUAGGUGGGGUAAAGGCUCACCAAGGCGACGAUCCCUAGCUGGUCUGAGAGGAUGAUCAGCCACACGGGGACGGAGACACGGCCCAGACUCACACGGAGGCAGCAGUGGGGAAUAUUGCACAAUGGGCGCAAGCCUGAUGCAGCCAUGCCGCGUGUAUGAAGAAGGCCUUAGGUUUGUAAAGGACUUUAAGCGGGGAGGCGUUACCCGCAGAAGAAGCACCGGCUAACUCCGUGCCAGCAGCCGCGGUAAUUC
rnacentral:rRNA from 1 species